GGUUUACGUACUUUCAUAAAGACUCAAAUUACAGACCUGUAAGUGUGAAUUCACUCUUAUGUAAGCUUUUUUUCAACAAUGCUGUUAGAUAACUUUUGAAGAAGUGAAAUUUGAUCUAAAGGCUUUGCUGAUGUGGAAAGGUUUUGCUAAUACAUCCUGUGGGAACAGCUGACUACUGCCUGGGCUGUGGGAAUGACUGUGAUUUUUGGAUGGCACUCUUCAGAAUGACUCUAUCCCGAACAUUCUGGUGUCUCAAGCUACUAAACUCAUCCAGAAAAACAAUUUAGAAAUGUGUAAAAUGGUUUUUUACCUCUUCUCAUAUAGCAGAUGACUUAUGUCCCCCAGGUUUUCCACAAGUUUUGGUGUGAUUGCUGGUUUGUUUUGGGUUUUUUUUCUCCCAGGUUUUUUUCACGUGAAGAAGCUAAGUUUUCUAACAUUUGGAAAUAUAGACAUUAAUAGCUCAGGGACUAUACAAAUUCACGCAUGUAAAUUCUUAGGUAUAUAAUCAUGCUGGCAGAAAUGUUUAGUCAAAAAUAAAAAUCCUCUAGAAAAUCACAUCCAUUUCAGAAAAAAAAAAGAAAAAGUGUAAAAAUAUCAGUGUUGAUGUACUGAAGAGCCAUUCUGAACAUUGGGGUGCAUAAGACAAGAUUUUUACAGGACAUUAAGCACCUGACAGUGACUAGGAAAAAGGUUCAUGGGAGAAACAUAGAUUGACUCUAGAGAAGACAGAAGAAUGAAGAAGUUAUUAACCACUGAAAAGACUUUCAUUACCUCAUUUUCCUUACAUUACAUAGAAACUUACUGAAUUUAUUAGGCUACUGGCAAGGUUAAAGAAUAUACUUUUUUUUUUUUCCUAGACAUGUUAAUGAUUCCAGUGUUACAAAAUUUUCUCUUCAGUAUCACCUGCUGUGGUAACCACUAUAAAUUCCUAAUAACGUCCUUUAUGUUUAACCAUAAUCAGAUAUUUAAUAUAUUUUACAAGUAAAGGUCAGAGAGCCCACUUGGUCCUUUUUUAUCAUGAUUGGAAAGGUGAAUUUAGAAGACUAAGACAUCACUUCAGGAAAAAAUAUUGAAAAAAUAUUUUCAAACACAGUUCUGUAAAAGGUUUUGAAAUAGACAAUUUUUCUAAGACCUUCAGAAAACUUAAUUCCCAUAUUAGUUCUGCAAAUGUCUGCACUAUUCCCAAAACGAUUGUUACUAAAAUAGGAUGUUAAGGAAAGUAAUGUAAUUUAAUAGAGCCAUAGAAAUAAAAGACAUGAAUUUCAAUAAUUAUCACAUAACACUGAUAAACUCAACCCAUCGUUAAACAGAAUAGGGUUCAAGAGAAACAAAAAAUAAUCUUAUAAUUUAUACUGCAAUAGGUGAGGAAACACCUUUUCACAGGAACACCAAAAUUAUUGAAUUAGCCAUGCAAAGAAGAUUGGCCUCAAAAUUCGGAGAAAUGGGCAGACGGGAACGUCAUGGAGUUCAACGAAUUGCAACGUCCUGCUCCUGGGGAGGAACAACUCCAAGUGCCAACCUGCGCUCAGGGCAAUCCAGCUGGAAAGCAGCUUGGCAGAACAGGGUCUGGGGCUGUGUUCUUGGACAUGCACCAAGCUGAACAUGAGCCAGCAACCUGCCCUUGCACCAGAGAAGUGACAAAGUGGAGAAAUAUGACUUCUGAGGCAAUCUUGUCUUAACCCACAGGACUCUGACAGCCUAAAGACAUAAUCAAAGCAAGAGGAGGAACUGAUAAAAAAAGGAAGGCAAUUGCUGAAGAUUACAUAUUGUGUUCCAUGUGUUACUGUUACACUUUUCUUUAUGUUUGGAAUUUCCCCUUAGAUCCAUUUAAAAAUCUUUUUCUCCCUUAAAAAUCAGUGACAAAAGUUAUUUUUGAUCCUAAUACUUACUGUUUUCAAAUAUUCUUAUUAAAAUAUCUAUGUGGCCCUUUUCCUAAAAGGACUCAUA